UACGUAGGGUGCAAGCGUUGUCCGGAUUUAUUGGGCGUAAAGAGCUCGUAGGCGGUUUGUCGCGUCGGAUGUGAAAACCCAGGGCUCAACCCUGGGCCUGCAUUCGAUACGGGCAAACUAGAGUAUGGCAGGGGAGACUGGAAUUCCUGGUGUAGCGGUGAAAUGCGCAGAUAUCAGGAGGAACACCUGUGGUGUAGACGGCUUACUGGACCACUUCUGACGCUGAGACACGAAAGCGUGGGUAGCAAACAGG
rnacentral:rRNA from 1 species